rnacentral:tRNA from 1 species
GGCCCGUUAGCUCAGUUGGUUAGAGCGUCCUGCUAAUAACGCGAAGGUCGUGGGUUCGAUCCCCCCACGGGCCA